GAUGAACGCUGGCGGCGUGCCUAAUACAUGCAAGUCGAGCGAACAGGCGAGGAGUUUGCUCCUCUGACGUUAGCGGCGGACGGGUGAGUAACACGUGGAUAACCUACCUAUAAGACUGGGAUAACUUCGGGAAACCGGAGCUAAUACCGGAUAAUAUAUUGAACCGCAUGGUUCAAUAGUGAAAGACGGUUUUGCUGUCACUUAUAGAGGGAUCCGCGCCGCAUUAGCUAGUUGGUAAGGUAACGGCUUACCAAGGCACCGAUGCGUAGCCGACCUGAGAGGGGGAUCGGCCACACUGAACCUGAGAACCGUCCCAGACCCCAACGGGAGGCGGCAGUAGGGAAUCUUCGGCAAGGGGCGAAAGCCUGACGGAGCAACGCAGCGUGAGUGAUGAAGGUCUUCGGAUCGUAAAACCCUGUUAUUAGGGAAGAACAAAUGUGUAAGUAACUAUGCACGUCUGGAGGGUACCUAAUCAGAAAGCCACGGCUACCUCCGG
rnacentral:rRNA from 1 species